CAUGGAGUCAGUCUGAGGCAGAUCUCCGCUCUCAUGGCUUCUCUCAGCGCUGCGUCCCUCCUGGCUCUGAGCUCCCUGAUCUGUCACCUGGCUGCUUCCUC